rnacentral:sRNA from 1 species
CGGGUAGGGCCCAAGGGAUGAAAUCUCGACGAGGCACUGUGUGUGAAAUUACCAAUCUAGUAGGAAAAAGUCUACAGCUCCUAAAUUAUUUAAUAUAACAUAAAUCGAUUCUUAUAGAAACAUUUAUAACAGAUUAUAACAUUUUUUAAUCAAAAGCCACGUCCUGCUCAUACAGACCAUCUUUUGUACUACCAUCAAAAAUGCCAGCUGGCGCUGUAUACUUUUGGGAGCGCAGAUGCAAGACGUAUCACACUAGAAAGAUUGCUGCUGUGGAACUUGGAAGCAUUCUGAAUUACAUAAUUAAUUUACACAUGGUCAUAUUGGUAUUAACACAAUAACGUUUUUUGUUUUAAUUUAUGAAUUUUAAGAAUAAAUAUCAUACAUAUCAUAUAUAAUUUUAAAACUUGAACAAUGCACCUGCCUGAUUUGUUUAUAUGAUGGUUGUUAAGGUACUCUAAGUAGUUGUUAAUUUAGUAAUAAUUUAAGCUUAAGCUGUAUGAUUAAAUGCCCAUCAGUUGCUAUCUUACGUGCUUGCGAGAAGCAUACAUACAUA